rnacentral:rRNA from 1 species
GACGAACGCUGGCGGCGUGCUUAACACAUGCAAGUCGAACGGAAAGGCCCUGCUCUUGUGGGGUGCUCGAGUGGCGAACGGGGGAGUAACACGUGUGUAACAUGCCCUUGUCUGUGGGAUAUCAUUAGGAAACACGGGCUCAAACCCGGUAUGAUCUACUGAUGCGUGGGGGGGGUUGGUAAGUUUCGGCGGUUGGGGCUGGACUAGCGGGAUAUCAGCUUGUUGGUGAGGUAGUGGCUUACCAAGGCUUUGACGGGUAGCCGGCCUUGGAGGGUGACCGGCGACAUGGGUCCUGCGAUACGCCGCAGUCUCGUACGGUAGGCAGCAGGGGGGAACAUGGCGCAACGGGCCGGAGCCUGAUGCGGCAGUGCCCCGAGCGUGAUGACGGGCUUCGGGUUGUAAACCACUUUCUCCUGUGCCGAAGCGGGAUUGACGGUAAUGGGUAAAGAAGCACCGGCUAACUACGUG